CAAUAGCGUAUAUUAAAGUUGCUGCAGUUAAAAAGCUCGUAGUUGCAUUUCCGAGGCAAGGGAUUAGUCCGACCUUUGGUGGGUAUUUAAUCCUCUUGCCUCGUCCUUGAGUGGUGCUUCUUGGUAUUAAGUUAUCGAGGAGAUAGCCGCUCAUCGUUUACUGUGAGAAAAUUAGAGUGUUCAAAGCAGGCUUAUGCCGUUGAAUAUAUUAGCAUGGAAUAAUAAGAUAGGACCUCGGUACUAUUUUGUUGGUUUGAGAACCAAGGUAAUGAUGAAUAGGGACAGUUGGGGGUAUUCGUAUUCAGUUGUCAGAGGUGAAAUUCUUAGAUUUUUGGAAGACGAACUACUGCGAAAGCAUUUACCAAGGAUGUUUUCAUUAA
rnacentral:rRNA from 1 species